GGAGUAAUGGUCUCAAAGUUGCAGUGGGGCAUGUCUGCUAUUAGUGAAAAAUUCACUAGGAUGGUGGGGAAGACCUGGAAUGGGUUACCUAGGGAGGUGUGGAAUCUCCUUCCUUAGAGGUUUUUAAGGGGCUAAGUGGCCAGU